GCCAAUGUGGUGGCAGGCACUGUAUUCCCAGCUACUUGGGAGGUUAAAGUAGGAGGAUCACUUGAGCCCAGGAGUUUCGAGGUGUAGUAAGCUAUGCCCACUGGGUAUCCACCAUCAACAUGGUGACCUCCCAGGAGCAGAGGACCAUGAGGUUGCCUCAGCAGAGGUAAACUGGCCCAGGGUGGAAACACAGCAGGUCAAAAUUCCCUGAUCAGUAGUGAGAUGUUGCCUGUGAAUAGCCACUGCAAUUCUGCCUGCACAACACAGGGAGACCCCGUUUCC
rnacentral:SRP_RNA from 1 species